rnacentral:misc_RNA from 1 species
AGAAGUAAAAGUCGUAACAAGGUCUCCGUAGAUGAACCUGCGGAGGGAUCAUUACAGAGUUCAUGCCCUACCGGGUAGAUCUCCCACCCUAUGUUAUUAUUACUUUGUUGCUUUGGCGGGCCGUUAGGCUCCGGCCCGACUACCGGCCCCGGCUGGUAAGCGCCCGCCAGAGGACCCAAAACCCUGAAUAUUAGUGUCGUCUGAGUACUAUAUAAUAGUUAAAACUUUCAACAACGGAUCUCUUGGUUCUG